ACCAAAAGCACAAUGAUGCCUUUCUUUUUACUCACAUUUGAUGACAUCCAUAGUGAGAAACAGCAGUUCCACUGUCCAACACCAGGAAAUGUUCUGACUGUUUCACCGCUCCAGCUAAUACUUACAGAGGUGUGGCCUAUUCCCACUUGUAUUGGGGGCUUUAGAAUCUGACUCCUUACAUUCCUAAGAUUAAAAGACAUCUUGUGCUGUUUUAUGUUCUGAGAAGGAUUGAUUACCACAAAGACAGAUCUAUAGAGAAUGUGAGUGGAAACUAUACGAGCUGCUAACGGGACAAGGCAUUUAAGAAUCAUCCGAGUUCUGCUCUUCUUGCUGGCUGGAGCUAAGAAUUCAAGAACAAACACCAGCAAAGAGAUUCAAUACAAAUAUCCAAUUUUGAGAUAAGGGAUGGAUAACCAUAGUGUGAGUUGAGCCACAGAAAUGUGGAUGAAUUCAAUAAAUAUUUGGAUGAUUGUUUAACAUUACUUCAUAAUUGAUGGGAAUAAAAAAGUAUAACAAAGAGAAGAAAUCAAGGCUGCAGCAUGACAAAAGGUUUAUAUUUUAACUUCAAGAAAUCACACAUACUCUGUUUUUUCCUCUACUGAAAGAUUAGACUAACAAUCCAAUUUACCUGGACAAAAUAAGCUUCUGGGAGAUUCUGAAAGUUUGUUAUCUUCCUUAUCCUUGCCUUUUUGUAUUUGAGAAUUAUAUCACCAUUCUCACCAUUCUAGGAUGUUUUCACUAAUAAUUUUUGAGAUUUAAUUUAUAAAUAUCAAGCUUCCUGGUUCUUGAAACCUACCCAUAGUUAACAACUGAUUCCUAGUUCUAGGGUUAACAACUGAUUCCUAGUUUCAGGGUUUUCCUGAAUAUUAUCUUUAUGCCAGCUUUAUAGCAUUUUGGAAGGCUCAUUUAUCCCACAUUAUGAUAUUCUCCUGCUUUCAAUUUCUCUGUGUCUUCUCGUUUCUCUUAAGGCUAAGCUGGACAUUGCAAACAGGAUAGUCUCUUCUAUCUUGCCCAGCCUUUUCUCCUAUCCCAUUUUUGCAUUCUCUCUAUUCUCUGAUCACAGAAUUGUUUUCAUUUCUGAAGGUACAACUAGUGUCACAUCUUAUGCACAUGCUGUUCCCUUUACUAGGAUUAUACUUUUCCCUUAAAUUAUCUACCCUUUGCUUGCUUUAUUCUGACUUAACUUCAGAUUAUGGCUCAAAUGUAUUUCCUCAUAGAAUUCUUCCUUGACACCUCAUAAUAAAUAAAGUUCACCAUAUUAAAUGCU